rnacentral:tRNA from 1 species
CACCAGCGUGCGCGGCAGGCAGGGCGUGGCGCUUUCGAGCAGCGCCUCGAGGUGCGAGGGCACGAUCUUCAGUGCGUCGAUGGC